AACGAACGCUGGCGGCAGGCUUAACACAUGCAAGUCGAGCGCCCCGCAAGGGGAGCGGCAGACGGGUGAGUAACGCGUGGGAAUCUACCCAUCUCUACGGAAUAACGCAUGGAAACGUGUGCUAAUACCGUAUACGUCCUUCGGGAGAAAGAUUUAUCGGAGAUGGAUGAGCCCGCGUUGGAUUAGCUAGUUGGUGGGGUAAAGGCCUACCAAGGCGACGAUCCAUAGCUGGUCUGAGAGGAUGAUCAGCCACACUGGGACUGAGACACGGCCCAGACUCCUACGGGAGGCAGCAGUGGGGAAUAUUGGACAAUGGGCGCAAGCCUGAUCCAGCCAUGCCGUGUGAGUGAUGAAGGCCCUAGGGUUGUAAAGCUCUUUCACCGGUGAAGAUAAUGACGGUAACCGGAGAAGAAGCCCCUGCUAACUUCGUGCCAGCCGCCGCAGUAAAAC
rnacentral:rRNA from 1 species